rnacentral:rRNA from 1 species
AAGCCCUUCGGGGUGGAUCAGUGGCGAACGGGUGAGUAACACGUGGGCAAUCUGCCCUGCACUCUGGGACAAGCCCUGGAAACGGGGUCUAAUACCGGAUAUGACCGCUGACCGCAUGGUUGGUGGUGUAAAGCUCCGGCGGUGCAGGAUGAGCCCGCGGCCUAUCAGCUUGUUGGUGGGGUGAUGGCCUACCAAGGCGACGACGGGUAGCCGGCCUGAGAGGGCGACCGGCCACACUGGGACUGAGACACGGCCCAGACUCCUACGGGAGGCAGCAGUGGGGAAUAUUGCACAAUGGGCGAAAGCCUGAUGCAGCGACGCCGCGUGAGGGAUGACGGCCUUCGGGUUGUAAACCUCUUUCAGCAGGGAAGAAGCGCAAGUGACGGUACCUGCAAAAGAAGCACCGGCUAACUACGUGCCAGCAGCCGCGGUAAUACGUAGGGUGCGAGCGUUGUCCGGAAUUAUUGGGCGUAAAGAGCUCGUAGGCGGCUUGUCGCGUCGGAUGUGAAAGCCCGGGGCUUAACUCCGGGUCUGCAUUCGAUACGGGCAGGCUAGAGUUCGGUAGGGGAGAUCGGAAUUCCUGGUGUAGCGGUGAAAUGCGCAAAUAUCAGGAGCUGAACACCGGUGGCGAAGGCGGAUUCUCUGGGCCGAUACUGACGCUGAGUUGGAGCGAUUCUCAAAGCGUGGGGAGCGAACAGGAUUAGAUACCCUGGUAGUCCACCCCAUGAAGUAAGAGUUGCUAGCUAUUAGCAGAUCAGCAUUCCUGAAAUUUAUAAGAGCCGCAGCUAACGCAUUAAGUUCCCCGCCUGGGGAGUACGGCCGCAAGGCUAAAAAGGGUGCCCGGAGGUUUUGGCCCUGUCCAUAAGUUGUAAGAAAGUAGCCGUUGAGUUUGCCUUUU